AGCAUUUCAUGGGUCUGCUGGGUGUUUUCAAAGUCAGUAACAGCACAACAAAUUGGGUCAGGCAUGAGGGGCCUUGGACUUGGAGCUAUCACACUUGACUGGACUACUGUGGCAUCCUUCUUGUUCAGCCCCCUCAUUAGUCCUUUCUUUGCCAUUGCCAAUGUUUUUGUGGGAUAUGUGUUGAUAGUCUACAUUGCCCUUCCUAUUGCUUACUGGGGACUAGGCCUGUACAAUGCACACAGAUUUCCCAUAUUCUCCUCCCACUUGUUUACAGCCCAAGGAAAUAAGUAUGAUAUAUCAGCUAUUGUUAAUGACAAGUUUGAGCUAGAUCUGCAUAAGUAUGAGGAGCAAGGACGAAUUCAUUUGAGCUUGUUUUUCAUUUUCACUUAUGGCUUUGGUUUUGCAACCAUUGCAUCGACCCUUAAGCAUGUGGCUUUCUUCCAUGGAAGGUAAUAUUUCACUCAACAAUUGACAAAAGCUUACUGAUAUGACAAGCAAUUUCGAAUUCUAUGGGUUGAGCGAAACUUUUACAUGUACGAGAAAAGAUGAAAACCAAAAUUUCUUUGGCUAAUUAUUGAAAGUGAAUAUGUCAAUUCACUAUCAUUAGAUCAGUUAUGUUUAUAUGCUCUACUACCUAAUGUUGUUUUCUGAAGUUUUCUAAUAAUAUAUGAAUCUACUAUGCUUAUAUAUUUUACGUAGCAUAUAUAAAUAUUAUCUUCCAAAUGCAGUUAACUCUUUUUCCCCAAGACACACAAAGCACCAUCCAAAAAUGAACUACUUCAUGAAACUCUUUCAGACUCAAGUCACAAUAUUGCAUUCAUUUUUCUACUCCUAAC
rnacentral:misc_RNA from 1 species